AAGUCGUAACAAGGUUUCCGUAGGUGAACCUGCGGAAGGAUCAUUAACACGUGAUACUUCACGUUUUAAACCAACCCGUCGAACUGUUUAUUGUCUCACUGACACUUGGUUGAUGAGAGAGGGAAGGGAGGGGCAAGCAAUUGCUCUAACUCUUUUGUCUAUGGCUCUUCGAAGUCAAGACUGGGCUGUCAGUGUUAUUCUCGCGUUCUAGUUGCGGUCCCUUCUUCACUGCAACUGGAACCACAUGUUUUUAACUUAACCGUUUUAAUCUGAUAUUAACAUUUGCUCGCGAAUUCCCAGCCAUACCAACGCUGGUCGAGUUUGCUUGAGCUUGUGUUUUCAAUAACAAAAAACAACUCUUAGCAACGGAUAUCUUGGUUCUC
rnacentral:misc_RNA from 1 species